UACGUAGGGUCCAAGCGUUGUCCGGAAUUAUUGGGCGUAAAGAGCUCGUAGGCGGUCUGUCGCGUCUGCUGUGAAAACUCAGGGCUUAACCCUGAGCUUGCAGUGGGUACGGGCAGACUAGAGUGCGGUAGGGGAGACUGGAAUUCCUGGUGUAGCGGUGAAAUGCGCAGAUAUCAGGAGGAGCACCGGUGGCGAAGGCGGGUCUCUGGGCCGUAACUGACGCUGAGGAGCGAAAGCAUGGGGAGCGAACAGG
rnacentral:rRNA from 1 species